AGGGAUGUAGAUCAGUGGUAGAGCACUUGCUUAGUAUGUGAAAGGCCCUGGGUUCAAUUCCCAGCACUGCAA
rnacentral:tRNA from 1 species